rnacentral:lncRNA from 1 species
AAAAAAACUUUAAAAAAACACAUUUCUCUCUCAAACUCAUCCCCAAAUCCGGCCAUGGGACACCACCGUGGCCCCACCGCGUCCUCGCCGUAGCUCCGCCGCAAGCGGCGGCCAGAGGUGCAAAACCGGGCCUUUCUUAACCCCGUUUAAGGCUCGUUCCCCCUGGAACACGGAUUCAAGGCCGAAUCCCCUGAAAGGUGGCCACACACUCCAGAAACGGAGGGAAACCGUUCGGUUUCUCCUCUUCCGGCGCGACACAGGUAAGCUUUUGGGAUUUUUGUUUUAUUACUUCAGUUUUAAAAAAAAUAGAAAUAAAAUAAAACAAUAAGAGAAAUAAAAAAAGAUUGAAAAACCGAAAUCACCUUAGUUCUUUUGUUUUUCUAUUUCUUAGUGUUCGUAAAAAAAUGUACAAAGAUGAGAUCUAGGCUUUUAUAGCAUAUUACAACUGUUGAUUUCUUCUUUUCUGUUUUUUUUUUUACUCCUUAACUUCCUAGAUUCUUCUAUUGCUUUUGCAUUCAUUUCUCUCUGCAGGUGUCUGACACGCGUGGAGGGCCAACGAUUGGCGAUCAAUGGCGGUGGGCAUGCGAGGAGGCGUGCGGCGCUGGGGCUGGGCAGAGGUAGGAGCGGUGGCCUAGGGUUUCUUCUUUUUUCUUUGCUGAAAAAUGUUUAUGGGCUAGGGUUGUAUUGGGCUGGCAUAAUUGGGUUUAUUAUUUUUUUAUGUAAAAUGGACUAUGGGUAUUUUUUAUUUAUUAUUGGGCCCGGGCAAAAUCUGGGCUUUACAUACCUAAAUUCAUCUCUAUCAAACUAUCGCGUCAAAAACUUCAUCAGAGUAAUUGUCUUCUUGGAGC